rnacentral:hammerhead_ribozyme from 1 species
GCACUGCUGACGAGUUCCAUACUAGGACGAAACAGUUGUUCAGUGC